UGGGGAAUAUUGCACAAUGGGCGAAAGCCUGAUGCAGCAACGCCGCGUGAGUGAUGAAGGCCUUCGGGUUGUAAAGCUCUGUCUUUUGGGACGAUAAUGACGGUACCAAAGGAGGAAGCCACGGCUAACUACGUGCCAGCAGCCGCGGUAAUACNUAGGUGGCAAGCGUUGUCCGGAUUUACUGGGCGUAAAGGAUGCGUAGGCGGAUUUUUAAGUGANAUGUGAAAAACCCCUAAGCUUAACUUGGGGGACUGCAUUUCAUACUGGAAAUCUAGAGUGCGGGAGAGGAGAAUGGAAUUCCUAGUGUAGCGGUGAAAUGCGUAGAGAUUAGGAAGAACACCAGUGGCGAAGGCGAUUCUCUGGACCGUAACUGACGCUGAGGCAUGAAAGCGUGGGUAGCAAACAGGAUUAGAUACCCUGGUAGUCCACGCCGUAAACGAUGAGUACUAGGUGUAGGAGGUAUCGACCCCUUCUGUGCCGCAGUUAACACAAUAAGUACUCCGCCUGGGAAGUACGAUCGCAAGAUUAAAACUUAAAUGAAUUGACGGGGUCAUAGCUG
rnacentral:rRNA from 1 species